rnacentral:lncRNA from 1 species
GAGAAGGCACAGGAAGCAGCUCCAGGAUGCAAGGAUAGAGUCUCUUAUAAUUAUCACAGGAUAUGGAAGAGCAAACAGUACCUUUUUUAAACUUUUCAAAGGUAGUGGUGCAGAAAAGAAACAAUUUGAAGCAAUCAGAGGCAUGUUGCAGCAAAAAUGUUUUGCAGCCAGCAUUUUCAAAAACAUUUGCAUUGGAGGAAAGCUCACCCUGGCAUUGUGGAAUUAGCAAUUAAAGAACAGAAAUAGCUAGACCAUUGUAAAUGAAGUUAAUGAAGACUUUAAAGGCUGAACACUGACAGUGGCAGACGACAGGCAGCGUGGAGUGACUUGGGGGGGUGCAGCACUCAGACUGGCAAUUCUGAUGAUCUAUUCACAUGGUCGGGAGUGACCUGGGACAAAUGGACAAGAAUGGGCUUUUUCCUAGCUACACUGGAGAUGACAGGACUGCCUGUUAAUAUCAGGAUUCUGCUGUCCAGUUUACUGAGCAUCUAAAGAAGAUCUAAGAAGAAUCAAGGACUCCAAAACAUCCCCAGAUAAACAGAGCCAUUUAGAUUUUGCUGAAUUUGCUGUAUAUUUUUACAUUUAGCCUUCUCUUUCCCCAUUCCUUCCUUCAUGUAUGAGCCCCUGUACUCAUAAACCUGUGUGAAUUUAUUCAUCUUCCUCUUCCCACCUGAGUUAUUGAUCUGUGAAUCUGCAAGUUUGAAUU